rnacentral:rRNA from 1 species
GCGGUGCGGGGUGCUAUACAUGCAAGUCGAGCGGACCGACGGGAGCUUGCUCCCUUAGGUCAGCGGCGGACGGGUGAGUAACACGUGGGUAACCUGCCUGUAAGACUGGGAUAACUCCGGGAAACCGGGGCUAAUACCGGAUGCUUGAUUGAACCGCAUGGUUCAAUCAUAAAAGGUGGCUUUUAGCUACCACUUACAGAUGGACCCGCGGCGCAUUAGCUAGUUGGUGAGGUAACGGCUCACCAAGGCGACGAUGCGUAGCCGACCUGAGAGGGUGAUCGGCCACACUGGGACUGAGACACGGCCCAGACUCCUACGGGAGGCAGCAGUAGGGAAUCUUCCGCAAUGGACGAAAGUCUGACGGAGCAACGCCGCGUGAGUGAUGAAGGUUUUCGGAUCGUAAAACUCUGUUGUUAGGGAAGAACAAGUACCGUUCGAAUAGGGCGGUACCUUGACGGUACCUAACCAGAAAGCCACGGCUAACUACGUGCCAGCCGCGGGGGUAAAUAACAAUAAGAGUUUUGAUCUGGCUCAGGACGAACGCUGGCGGCGUGCCUAAUACAUGCAAGUCGAGCGGACCGACGGGAGCUUGCUCCCUUAGGUCAGCGGCGGACGGGUGAGUAACACGUGGGUAACCUGCCUGUAAGACUGGGAUAACUCCGGGAAACCGGGGCUAAUACCGGAUGCUUGAUUGAACCGCAUGGUUCAAUCAUAAAAGGUGGCUUUUAGCUACCACUUACAGAUGGACCCGCGGCGCAUUAGCUAGUUGGUGAGGUAACGGCUCACCAAGGCGACGAUGCGUAGCCGACCUGAGAGGGUGAUCGGCCACACUGGGACUGAGACACGGCCCAGACUCCUACGGGAGGCAGCAGUAGGGAAUCUUCCGCAAUGGACGAAAGUCUGACGGAGCAACGCCGCGUGAGUGAUGAAGGUUUUCGGAUCGUAAAACUCUGUUGUUAGGGAAGAACAAGUACCGUUCGAAUAGGGCGGUACCUGACGGUACUAAACCAAGAAAGGCAAAAAGC